rnacentral:rRNA from 3 species
CGCGGCAAGACGGAAAGACCCCGUGAACCUUUACUAUAGCUUGACACUGAACAUUGAGCCUUGAUGUGUAGGAUAGGUGGGAGGCUUUGAAGUGUGGACGCCAGUCUGCAUGGAGCCGACCUUGAAAUACCACCCUUUAAUGUUUGAUGUUCUAACGUGGACCCGUUACCCGGGUUGCGGACAGUGUCUGGUGGGUAGUUUGACUGGGGCGGUCUCCUCCUAAAGAGUAACGGAGGAGCACGAAGGUUGGCUAAUCCUGGUCGGACAUCAGGAGGUUAGUGCAAUGGCAUAAGCCAGCUUGACUGCGAGCGUGACGGCGCGAGCAGGUGCGAAAGCAGGUCAUAGUGAUCCGGUGGUUCUGAAUGGAAGGGCCAUCGCUCAACGGAUAAAAGGUACUCCGGGGAUAACAGGCUGAUACCGCCCAAGAGUUCAUAUCGACGGCGGUGUUUGGCACCUCGAUGUCGGCUCAUCACAUCCUGGGGCUGAAGUAGGUCCCAAGGGUAUGGCUGUUCGCCAUUUAAAGUGGUACGCGAGCUGGGUUUAGAACGUCGUGAGACAGUUCGGUCCCUAUCUGCCGUGGGCGCUGGAGAACUGAGGGGGGCUGCUCCUAGUACGAGAGGACCGGAGUGGACGCAUCACUGGUGUUCGGGUUGUCAUGCCAAUGGCACUGCCCGGUAGCUAAAUGCGGAAGAGAUAAGUGCUGAAAGCAUCUAAGCACGAAACUUGCCCCGAGAUGAGUUCUCCCUGAGACUUAGAGUCUCCUGAAGGAACGUUGAAGACGACGACGUUGAUAGGCCGGGUGUGUAAGCGCAGCGAUGCGUUGAGCUAACCGGUACUAAUGAACCGUGAGGCUUAACCUUACA